rnacentral:rRNA from 1 species
AACGAACGCUGGCGGCAUGCCUAACACAUGCAAGUCGAACGAAGGCUUCGGCCUUAGUGGCGCACGGGUGCGUAACGCGUGGGAAUCUGCCCUUGGCUUCGGAAUAACAGUUAGAAAUGACUGCUAAUACCGGAUGAUGUCGCAAGACCAAAGAUUUAUCGGCCAGGGAUGAGCCCGCGUAGGAUUAGGUAGUUGGUGGGGUAAAGGCCUACCAAGCCGACGAUCCUUAGCUGGUCAGAGAGGAUGAGCAGCCACACUGGGACUGAGACACGGCCCAGACUCCUACGGGAGGCAGCAGUGGGGAAUAUUGGACAAUGGGGGCAACCCUGUUCCAGCAAUGCCGCGUGAGUGAUGAAGGCCUUAGGGUUGUAAAGCUCUUUUACCCGGGAUGAUAAUGACAGUACCGGGAGAAUAAGCUCCGGCUAACUCCGUGCCAGCCGCCGCGGUAA